rnacentral:rRNA from 1 species
UACAGGGGGGGCAAGCGUUGUUCGGAAUUACUGGGCGUAAAGGGCGCGUAGGCGGCCUGCUAAGUCGAACGUGAAAUCCCCGGGCUCAACCCGGGAACUGCGUCCGAUACUGGUUGGCUUGAAUCCGGGAGAGGGAUGUGGAAUUCCAGGUGUAGCGGUGAAAUGCGUAGAUAUCUGGAGGAACACCGGUGGCGAAGGCGGCAUCCUGGACCGGUAUUGACGCUGAGGCGCGAAAGCCAGGGGAGCAAAGCGGG